ACUUCCUCGACAUGGUGCCAGGUGGUCAGUUUGGAGCCAUCUCCGAGCAAAUAUUCAGUUAGCAUUAGGUUAGACCUGGCAGUCUCGUUCAAAGUUGUGAAAAUAUACCUCUGCCACAGAAAUAUUGUUUGAAUCCUCUGUACUAUUGAUAUAGCACUUUACUCCAGUGAUUGUUUGACCAAUGAGAAUUUGGUUUGAUCAGAGCAUACUGACCGACCAACUGACCGGUUGAUGCUCCAGCUCCAGAGAAUAUGUUUGUGUAUCUUGCCUGAUUGGAUUUUGUGUAUUCCUGCUUUGGCUGGAAGCUUUGGGGGCCUUUAAGGACUCUUGUCUCAUGAUCUGCCCAUACAUCUGGCAUUUUUUUCAAAGACGGAAAAUCACCAGGGGACAUUUGUUUCAACAAGGGUGUCCCCUGCCUUCGCCCGAGUCAGCUGGGAUAGGCUCCAGCCCCCCCCCGCGACCCUAGUGAGGAUUAAGCGGUGUAUAGAUAAUGGAUGGAUGGAUGGAUGGAUGGAUUAUCUUCUCCUUCCACAGCUUAAUGCUGUGGAUUGUGGCAGUGCUCUCUCCUCCUCCGGCCCUGCUCUCUCUCCUCCAGGUGUGCGCUGCACAGAGGCCGGUGACAGGUGUGGCGUAUUGGCAAUCAGCUGAUUGUGCGCAGGUGGAAGCCAGAGGAUUACCGACUCCAUUCGUCGGUUGAUGCCGGACUGUCCUCGACCUUACAAAGCUGACUUUCACCUGCUUGUGGUCACCUGGCUCUGCUGGUUCCAUCAUCGUCUGCCUGGCCUCCGUUCUCUAGUGGAUUCCAUUCAGCCGUGGAGACUCCCCUGCCACCAGCCUUCCCCUCCUGGAGAACACCUACCGAGCCCUGGAACACUCCGUGCCUCCCUAAGACGUAUAACCACCUGCCCAAGCCUCCGGACGCCAUUCUCCAUCCUGGCCGUUCGAACCGGGGACUUCGUCUAAGGAUUGGAUGGAGUCUGCACCCCUCCCUAGUAGAACUACUUCCUGUUUAGUCAGCUAAGUUCUUAGCCCUAACGACACCAGACUGUUUUGUCUUGCUAUGUAUUUCGUAUUAGUGGGUUUUCAUAGUUACUCGUAGUUGUAGUCUGGGCUUUUAGUGGAGGUUAUUGCAGACUAGGUUCUUGGUUUUUUUUGGAUAGUUUAUUUCAGUUGUAUUCCUGCCCUGGUGUUACCAGUAUUGGGUUUACUUAGUUUCUGUUUUUUAGGAUUUGUAAUUGCCCUCCGAGCCACUAGAGGCUGUCUUGAUCUGUUUGUUCCCAUAGAGUAGGUUACACUUCUGGUUCCGGAAUUCAGUUCCUAGUUGGGAUUUGUAGUCCUUGAGUUUUUUGUGUGUAAAAGCUUUUUGUAAAUCGUGCAACUGCUUUCAUUGUUACUUUCAUUUCCUGCAUCUGAGCCUCUACACCUGCCGUAACAUUUUAUUCUUUUGUAUUAUUUUCGACAUUGUAGAUUCAUACUGAAGAUUAACAUUUUUUGUUUACAACAUAAUUCCAUAUAUAUUUGUAUGUGUACUUUUAUAGUUUUGAUGUAUUCAGUAUUAAUUUACAAUGUAUAAAAUAAUUAAAGAAAAACCAUUGAAUGAGAAGGUGUGUCCAAACUUUAUUCAAUCAACUCCUAACAUUAUCAUUGCUUUAAAGUCCCAUUUUUAGUUAAUCCAUGAUUUUAGUUCAAUAUUUGGUCUUUUUUUUUUUUUUUUUUAAUCUCUGCUUUGGUCUCCACCAACAUUCAAGAGAAAUAACUAAAUUUAGCUGCUAAAUGCAAUGUUAGCAAACCUGUUCCCCAAGUUUUAACUGUGAACCCAAACAAUAGUGAGCUAAAAAUCAAAACAAAGGGCUCAAAGAUGCUAAAAUACCCUGUAAAACUGAACGCAGCAAAGUCAGGGAAUGAUUGUGUAGAGACAUUACUACCAGCUAAGGUAUUCAUACUAUAUAAUGUAUUGUUAUGAAAUCAUAUUAAAACAAUGAUUAGAGCAGCUGUAACGAC
ensembl:lncRNA